rnacentral:lncRNA from 1 species
CCGCGCCUCUACUCUAUGAUCAUAAUUAUGUUAAUGUCAUUCACAGUUUUCUAAUGUUGUAGAUAAAUAUCCAUUUCAGCUAAAAUCUAGCUAUAUACUCUAAUUAUUAAAUUUCCAGCUAGGUAGAAGCUAUAUUGUACGUCGAAUUAAGCAAAAUAAGAAGAUUACGACUAACUUGUCACAUAAUUAAUUUUUGUUUAACAAAUAAACACUUGUUUUUUUUUUUAUUACAACCAAUAGUCACACUCACACAAAACCAUCAACUGCACUUGACACAGUUGACACCAGAGAAUGAAGAUAUAUUUGCAAUUAAUACAAAAUUCCUUUAUUUAAGAUUACUCAUGUGCAAGUCAGUAUCAAUUAAGCUAGCUAGAAGUCCAAGAAGAAGCAUGAGCCGUUUGCCUGUCAAGUGUCAAGGACAGACGCAACAAGCACACUUUCGGGAUGGCGCAGGUUCGCAACAUAUACAAUUGGUGCACACAAGUCUCUUCUUAUUGGUUUCUGCAUUUCAACAACAAACAAAAACUAAACUUUAAGUCGUUUCCAAGAAGUAUAAGGAGCAGAAUUCGUUUCUACUUGAAAUAUUAUAAACCUCAGGAACAUUAUUAUUGUGGUCGCAUAUAUCACAUAUUCUAAUUAUCGGUGGAUUUUUAAGUUUAGAUGAUGCACGGCUUCCGACCUUAUCUUGAUAAUUUCGAUGAUCAGGAUUUUGCUAAAAACUUGACCCGAUCCAAUAUGAGGGGGUCUGUUCCAUCUUAACUUGUGCUUGCCCAACACUUAAUUCUAAUUUACACAUUACUUUUAGCUUGAAUUAGCACGAACGAAUACAUAUAACGGGUUCAAAUAUUAUAAAAUAUUGUGUGUUGAAGAAGAAGAAAGUUAAGUAACCUGGAACACGGAAUCGAGCAGCUUGAGAUGGUACCACCAGGGCUGGUGACAGCAGAAUUGCCAAGACAAACAAGGUGAGAAGAACGGAGCUUGAAUAGCUGGUAGAAUUUGUCAUUGCUUAGAACUGACAAUAUAUUUGUG